AGAGUUUGAUCAUGGCUCAGGAUGAACGCUGGCGGCGUGCCUAAUACAUGCAAGUCGAACGCUUUGUCUUUAAUUGAUCUGACGAGCUUGCUCUGAUGUGAUUUUAUCUGACAAAGAGUGGCGAACGGGUGAGUAACACGUGGGUAACCUACCUCUUAGCAGGGGAUAACAUUUGGAAACAAGUGCUAAUACCGUAUAAUACCAACAACCGCAUGGUUGUUGGUUGAAAGAUGGUUCUGCUAUCACUAAGAGAUGGACCCGCGGUGCAUUAGCUAGUUGGUAAGGUAACGGCUUACCAAGGCAAUGAUGCAUAGCCGAGUUGAGAGACUGAUCGGCCACAAUGGGACUGAGACACGGCCCAUACUCCUACGGGAGGCAGCAGUAGGGAAUCUUCCACAAUGGGCGCAAGCCUGAUGGAGCAACGCCGCGUGUGUGAUGAAGGGUUUCGGCUCGUAAAACACUGUUAUAAGAGAAGAACGGCACUGAGAGUAACUGUUCAGUGUGUGACGGUAUCUUACCAGAAAGGAACGGCUAAAUACGUGCCAGCAGCCGCGGUAAUACGUAUGUUCCAAGCGUUAUCCGGAUUUAUUGGGCGUAAAGCGAGCGCAGACGGUUAUUUAAGUCUGAAGUGAAAGCCCUCAGCUCAACUGAGGAAUGGCUUUGGAAACUGGAUGACUUGAGUGCAGUAGAGGAAAGUGGAACUCCAUGUGUAGCGGUGAAAUGCGUAGAUAUAUGGAAGAACACCAGUGGCGAAGGCGGCUUUCUGGACUGUAA
rnacentral:rRNA from 1 species